GGCACCCCGAGUCCCUUGUCUCUCUCCUACCUUCCUGCUUCCUCACCCCACCACCUCUGGAAGAGAUCGGAUGGGAGCUGAGGUCCUGAGGGAGCCGUUGCUUUGCCAGGCUGUUCUGCAGGAUCGACCCUCAUCAGAGAGGAUGGUGUCCCAGGGUCAUAAGGUUAGAAAGUCAAGUAUCACGUUAUAAACAGGCUGCUGAAAAUGCUGAAAAAAUAGAAGAUGAACUUAAGGCUGAAAAACGGAAACUCCAAAGAGAGCUUCGCUCUGCACUGGACAAAACAGAAGAGCUCGAGGUGAGCAACGGCCACUUAGUGAAGCGUCUGGAGAAGAUGAAAGCCAACAGGAGCGUCCUCUUGUCCCAGCAGUGAAGGACAGUUCUGAACAGGACACGGAUGGGUGGGUGGAGAGCACGGGUUCAUAGGCUGGUCUGUGGCUGCCCAGGAGCGCUGCUUCUCCCCCUGCUUCUCAGAGGACACCCCGGGGAGCACCCUGCUUUUGCCUGGAGCCCUGGCAGCCAUGAGACGCCUCUGUCUGCAGAUUGAGACCCAGUCCAGGGCAGCCGCUCUGCACCAGCAGGCCAUUUAGUAAGCACACUGGGCCAUGGAGCUCUGUUUCCGACAGUGCGGUGGCCUCUUCACCCCGUUUAAAAUGGUGUUUGGAGUAAAGACAAAUGUGGGACUCGAGUUCUCUUUCCAUGUGUCUUGCUGAACAUUAAGGGGAAAUGUUUCAGUGUUGGGACUUGCUUUCGUGGCAGAAUCUGCAAUUUGAGCGACUUCAGUAGUAUCUCUUAGUCUAUGCUUUUCAUACACAAAACACUGUGGAACCACAAGCCAUUACCAAGCAAAACUCUUUCACUAGAAACAAGUGGAUGGUCUAGAAGUAAAAGUGACCUUAAGCAGACUCUUUCCAGGCAACACUGAAGCUUUUCUAAGGGGGUUUUGCAUCAGUUCAAUCCGAAGAAUACUUUUUUCCAGGGUAAUUAGGCAACAACUUCACUGAAAAACAACAGCUUUUCAUUCGCAUUAUUGAAUCCUUAUAUUUGGGAAACUGAAGUUGUUAACUUCUUUUAAAAAAUGUACUAUUAGAAAAAUUAAAAAUUGAAAUGUUGAAAGACUUCA
ensembl:lncRNA